GAUGAACGCUGGCGGCGUGCCUAAUACAUGCCAGUCGAGCGAACGGACGAGAAGCUUGCUUCUCUGAUGUUAGCGGCGGACGGGUGAGUAACACGUGGAUAACCUACCUAUAAGACUGGGAUAACUUCGGGAAACCGGAGCUAAUACCGGAUAAUAUUUUGAACCGCAUGGUUCAAAAGUGAAAGACGGUCUUGCUGUCACUUAUAGAUGGAUCCGCGCUGCAUUAGCUAGUUGGUAAGGUAACGGCUUACCAAGGCAACGAUGCAUAGCCGACCUGAGAGGGUGAUCGGCCACACUGGAACUGAGACACGGUCCAGACUCCUACGGGAGGCAGCAGUAGGGAAUCUUCCGCAAUGGGCGAAAGCCUGACGGAGCAACGCCGCGUGAGUGAUGAAGGUCUUCGGAUCGUAAAACUCUGUUAUUAGGGAAGAACAUAUGUGUAAGUAACUGUGCACAUCUUGACGGUACCUAAUCAGAAAGCCACGGCUAUCUACGUG
rnacentral:rRNA from 1 species